UACGUAGGGGUGCGAGCGUUGUCCGGAAUUACUGGGCGUAAAGAGCUCGUAGGUGGUUUGUCGCGUUGUCCGUGAAAACUCACAACUCAAUUGUGGGCGUGCGGGCGAUACGGGCAGACUGGAGUACUGCAGGGGAGACUGGAAUUCCUGGUGUAGCGGUGGAAUGCGCAGAUAUCAGGAGGAACACCGGUGGCGAAGGCGG
rnacentral:rRNA from 1 species